GAUGAACGCUGGCGGCGUGCCUAAUACAUGCAAGUCGAGCGAACGGACGAGAAGCUUGCUUCUCUGAUGUUAGCGGCGGACGGGUGAGUAACACGUGUAUAACCUCCCUAUAAUACUGGGAUAACUUCGGGAAACCGGAUCUAAUACCGGAUAAUAUUUUGAACCGCAUGGUUCAAAAGUGAAUUACGGUCUUGCUGUCACUUAUAGAUGGAUCCCCGCUGUAUUAGCUAGUUGGUAAGGUAACGGCUUACCAAGGCAACGAUGCAUAGCCGACCUGAGAGGGUGAUAGGCCACACUGGAACUGAGACGCGGUCAAGACUCCUACGGGAGGCAGCAGUCGGGAAUCUGCCGCAAUGGGCGAAAGCCUGACGGAGCGACGCCGAGUGAGUGAUGGAGGUCCUCGGAUCGUAAAACUCUGUUAUUAGGGAAGAACAUAUGUGUAAGUAACCGAGCACAUCGUGACGGUACCGAAUCAGAAAGCAACGGCUAACUACGUG
rnacentral:rRNA from 1 species